ACGGCUCAGUAACACGUGGACAAUCUGGCCUGAAGUGGAGAAUAAUCCCGGGAAACUGGGGGUAAUGCUCCAUAGUUCGUGAUGACUGGAAUGUCUUUCGAACAAAAGAUCCGUCGCUUCAGGAUGAGUCUGCGGCCGAUUAGGUAGUUGUUGGGGUAACGGCCCAACAAGCCCUUCAUCGGUACGGGUUGUGGGAGCAAGAGCCCGGAGAUGGAUUCUGAGACACGAAUCCAGGCCCUACGGGGCGCAGCAGGCGCGAAAACUUUACCAUGCGGGCAACCGUGAUAAGGAAACCCCGAGUGCCAGCAUAGGCUGGCUGUCCGCCAGUUUAAAAAACUGGUGAAGAAAGGGCCGGGCAAGACCGGUGCCAGCCGCCGCGGUAAUACCGGCGGCUCGAGUGGUGGCCACUAUUACUGGGCUGAAAGGGUCCGUAGCUUGAUAUGCGAAGUCUCUUGAGAAGUCCGCCAGCUUAACUGGCGGGCGUUCAGGGGAAACUGCAUUUCU
rnacentral:rRNA from 1 species